CCAAAUGCGCUCUCAACGAGUACUGCGCCUACGGGUUCGUCGCCUUGUCGUGCAAUAAGUGCCCCUGCUACGGAUCGCAUCAGGCAACCUGCAUCCGAAAGCUGUACAAGAAUCUGUGCAGUCCCGACAGCAUCGUGCGCUUGGACAAGGAGAUGGGUUACACCUGCGACAGCUGCAUUACGGCCGCCUCGGUUCUUACCGGGAUGACGUGAAGAUGUGUCCGAUGUGCAGAAA